rnacentral:rRNA from 1 species
GGGGGGCUAUCUGCAGUCGAGCGAUGAUGAGGAGCUUGCUCCUCUGAUUUAGCGGCGGACGGGUGAGUAACACGUGGGUAAUCUGCCUGUAAGACGGGGAUAACUCCGGGAAACCGGGGCUAAUACCGGAUAAUAAAAAGAAACGCAUGUCUCCUUUUUGAAAGUCGGUUUCGGCUGACACUUACAGAUGAGCCCGCGGCGCAUUAGCUAGUUGGUGAGGUAACGGCUCACCAAGGCGACGAUGCGUAGCCGACCUGAGAGGGUGAUCGGCCACACUGGGACUGAGACACGGCCCAGACUCCUACGGGAGGCAGCAGUAGGGAAUCUUCGGCAAUGGGCGAAAGCCUGACCGAGCAACGCCGCGUGAGCGAUGAAGGCCUUCGGGUCGUAAAGCUCUGUUGUUAGAGAAGAACAAGUACGAGAGUAACUGCUCGUACCUUGACGGUACCUAACCAGAAAGCCACGGCUAACUACGUGCCAGCAGCCGCGGUAAUACGUAGGUGGCAAGCGUUAUCCGGAAUUAUUGGGCGUAAAGCGCGCGCAGGCGGUCUCUUAAGUCUGAUGUGAAAGCCCACGGCUCAACCGUGGAGGGUCAUUGGAAACUGGGAGACUUGAGUGCAGGAGAGAAAAGUGGAAUUCCACGUGUAGCGGUGAAAUGCGUAGAGAUGUGGAGGAACACCAGUGGCGAAGGCGGCUUUUUGGCCUGUAACUGACGCUGAGGCGCGAAAGCGUGGGGAGCAAACAGGAUUAGAUACCCUGGUAGUCCACGCCGUAAACGAUGAGUGCUAGGUGUUGGGGGGUUCCACCCUCAGUGCUGAAGUUAACACAUUAAGCACUCCGCCUGGGGAGUACGACCGCAAGGUUGAAACUCAAAGGAAUUGACGGGGGCCCGCACAAGCAGUGGAGCAUGUGGUUUAAUUCGAAGCAACGCGAAGAACCUUA